rnacentral:rRNA from 1 species
CAGUCGAGCGGUACAAAAAGUACUUGCUACUCUGCUGACGAGCGGCGGACGGGUGAGUAAUGCUUGGGAAUAUGCCUUAUGGUGGGGGACAACAGUUGGAAACGACUGCUAAUACCGCAUGAUGUCUACGGACCAAAGUGGGGGACCUUCGGGCCUCACGCCAUAAGAUUAGCCCAAGUGGGAUUAGCUAGUUGGUGAGGUAAUGGCUCACCAAGGCGACGAUCCCUAUCUGGUUUGAGAGGAUGAUCAGCCACACUGGGACUGAGACACGGCCCACACUCCUACGGGAGGCAGCAGUGGGGAAUAUUGCACAAUGGGCGCAAGCCUGAUGCACCCAUGCCGCGUGUG